UACGUAGGGGGCAAGCGUUGUCCGGAAUCAUUGGGCGUAAAGAGCGCGUAGGCGGCCCUGUAAGUCCGCUGUGAAAGUCAAGGGCUCAACCCUUGGAUGCCGGUGGAUACUGCAGGGCUAGAGUCCGGAAGAGGCGAGUGGAAUUCCUGGUGUAGCGGUGAAAUGCGCAGAUAUCAGGAGGAACACCGAUGGCGAAGGCAGCCCCCUGGGAUAACACUGACGCUCAUGCACGAAAGCGUGGGGAGCAAACAGG
rnacentral:rRNA from 1 species